UUCACCACGCUGGCCAUGCUUCACCACGCUGGUCAUAGUUCACCACGCUGGCCAUACUUCACCACGCUGGGCAAUGGGAUUUGGCGAAUGCGAAUACAAUCACAAUAAAGCGAUUGACAGUGAACGCGAUUUCAUAACGGCGACCGUAGCUGAAGUCUCACCGCCCUGGCCAUCUGUGUGCAGUCUAAUAACCAAAAUUUAAACAUCAUCACUUGCACGCGAGACGAUUUUACUGAACUAAUUUGCAACAAAUAAAGCGUUCAACGAAACGACAAAAGAAUCUUCCACGUAUGCGCAGGCCCGAGACGGCGAGGGCGACCUCGACUAGCGGCUUCGGCCGCGCGAGCUGCGAGGCAACGCGGCCACCGCGACAGUACCAAUGGCUGUACAAAGAUGUUGGAGUUCAUCCGUCAUUACUACUCGACUCAGUGCCCAGAGCGCUCCCUCCCUCCUCCCCAUCUCAGCAGCGCGGUCUUGCUGGCUUCCAGCGUCAACUGCAAGUUCCCCUCGCAGGUCCUGCAUCUCCCUGUUGCUGGGGUUGGUGAAGUCUAGGUGUGGCCACAGACAGCCGCGCAAGUAACUGUGCGAAGGCUGCAAAGAGGUCAUGGCAGCUCGCCACCUCUCGCCAUCCCUCCUCGGCAUGUGGCUGCCAUGGAUCAGCGCCUCUCUCCCCCGACUCCACAGCCGCCGCUCACGUGCCUGCGGGAUCUCCGACCGAGAUCGCGAAUCCUGGGGCUGUCCGAGGGGUCCCGUCAACGUCGUCCUCCUCAUCCGAAGAUGCUACCGGUGGGUUCGUUUUACGUAGACUCUUAGACAUCAUGUCUAAACACUUCUGACACCACAUGUAAUGUAGGACUCCAGAGACAAUAACUGUAGAGGCACCUUCUUUAUUUAUAUUACUCAUACUCACAUUGCAUGACUCACUGAGCACAUAACGUAACGCUGACCGUCAAGCUCGACGGCGCUAACUAACUGGAUAGCUGGCUGACUAUCCAGCAGUGGUGACGUCGGGCGAUGACAAGGACAACAGCCACAACAGAGACAACGAGGACGAUUUCCAUGGCGAGACGACCCUGAUUCCCACAGACAGCCUCGAGCUUCCUCUCUUGCCCCCUUUCAUGCUUCCAGCGGGGCCCGGCCCUGCCCUGGCCAUGCCCCCCUUCUCGAACCUUCUAGCUGGUUCUGGGAGCUCAAAGAUGGAUCCCUUCCAUGACCUUUGGCCCAGUUCUUAUCACUUCUAUGACCCUUGCCCCAGUUCUUCCCCUUGUGGACUUUCCCGUGUUUACUUUCUCCCCUUGGGUGGAUAAACCCACAAUUGCUACUUCUGGCCGCCAGUCGGCGCUGCUACACGACGUAUGUAUUCAGGUGUUAUCGGUCAAUUAAUGAGUGCUUACAUGUGGGAGGAAACCAGAGUAACCGGAGAAAACACCAUGCCUGCGAGGGGGAAAUGCUCUAUGCCCGUGUAGUGACAUCUCAGGCAGGGGCUAGGGGGUGGUCAUGUGUCAGGGUGAGAUCCUACGGAAAGAGUCGAGAAACGACAAGAGGUUUCUCGAAGGUGGUCGUGGCCAAGGGUGGGGCCAACCAUGACCCGGGAGCAUAUAAACCAGGUCCCCACAGGAACUGGGGCUCUGUGUUGCUGUUGUCAACGGAAGAUCUACAAUAUGCAUUCUACGUCCAAGAGAAGUAGUCACCAACACGUGGACGAGGACCCAAGCCAGGGUCCUGUCUGCUGUAGCUACUCCCAGUAACUAGCGUAGUUAGCCUGGUGGUCCACCACCAUAGGUUAUCUGGUAAAGGGACAGUAACCCCUUUGUGUUAAUAUGUUGGUGUAAAUGAAUGUGUUGCCUCCAAGAAUUACGUCUGCGAUUCAGUUGAAUCCACGACAACUGGUGUCGGAAGUGGCCAAAAGCAUUGCUUUACUUAGCUAGCUGUUAGACUAUGUCUACGCGCUGCAGACUACGUACCAGGACGUCGGACGAUGAAGACGAAGAUCUCAUCCCGCAAACAGCCCCGGAGGAGGGAGAUGAAGCGUUGCCGGUGGAUUAGAGCACCGACCAGGCACGCGACUGCUCCACACCGAUGGGGAGGGUGCUCUCGGCUGCACACGGCCACCUCGCAGAGCUCCUCCAUGCCGCGGCGUCCAUCCUCGCGGAGCUCCACAUCAUGGAGCCAGCGGUGGAAGCGGGAGCAACGGAGCCACGUGGCGACGAAGAUCCCGCCGCCAUUUCCGGCCAAGCGGAAACCUCCGUGGCGCAACCCGCGCUUGCAGCCGCCAUCUUCUCCGAAGAGCGGAGCGCGGGACCUGCCAAAUCCAAAGUUGCGUCAAAAUCGCCGGUGGACAUUCCAUCUCUCCAGCAAAGACUUCCCUUCGUAAAAUAAUUUACAGCCGCCGGAGGCGACUGGGUGGCCUUCAAGCGGUGGUUCCUGACGAACGCCGACUUGGCAGGGUGGACGGAGGCGGAGGCGCUGAUAGCGCUGCCCGCCGCCCUUGAUGACGACACCCUGGCAGCGUUCCUUAUCAUCCCGCCAUCGGAGAGUGCCACGUUGACUCAAGCCUUCGACCAAAUGGCAGCCAUUUACGAGCCACCGUCCAACGUACGCUACAAGUUCGCUACGCAAAAGAAAGGGGAAACCGAGACGCCCCCUUGCCUUCCGUAGCACACUUUUGGUGGUAGUGAAGGCUGCCUUUCCAAGAAAGGACCACGACGGAGUCGACUCGUUGGUUCUUGAGAGACUGCUAGCUUUGGCUAAGGACCUCAACAUUGUUCUGCCAGCUGUAGACGACGAUCUAUCGUCCAUCAGGGUUGCAAAAUGUAUUCAGGCUCACGAUCUCCUGCAACGGCACAAGAGGUCGGUGGCGUGUUCCGUGUCCCGCGAGGGGCCGAAUACACCUGAAGAUGUGGAGCCCGUCCCAGCCUGCGCAUUGACCCAGAGUGGAGGCGGGCGAGGGGACGGCAUGGUGUGGCUGGCGGACGACCAGCGACGGUGGAAGACAUCUCCUCAUUCCGAGAGCAGCCCUGUCAUGUGCUACAGCUGCGGCCUGCCGGGAUACGUCUCGUCGGGCUGCCGCGUACCACGACGAUGCCUCCCCGGACCACCGCCAUCAUCCGCCCGACCGUCCUUCACUCCACUGCACCCUAAGACGAGUGGCGACACAUUCCACACUCGGCCCCUGAAUCCAUCUGACCCAUCUCGUGCGUUCGGGUUUUGUGCCGGUCGCGGGUCGGGGCGGGAGGAUUUUGAUGUUGAUCGGGCCGGCUGGACGCUCCGACCGGGUCAUUGGUUGGAGCUCGCCAAUAGAGUGGUAGCCACGACUGCAGGUUCAUCCACUGUUGUUGGACUGAUAGAAGGGGUGGAGAUUAGGAUGCUCGUUGACACCGGUGCAUCAGCGACCAUCAUUUCAGAAUUUAUUUAUAAUAUCUUACCCCGUAAAUGUCGUUCCUUAUUGGGAAAAUAACAGUGGAGGUGUGCAUUGCGGAUGUUAAAUUGACAGGAUAGGUCCUUGUUUCGACAUCCCUUGCUAUUCCUUGCUUGCUCAGGACUGAUUUUUUGGGAUGAAUGCCCCUGAAAAUUUUUAUUGACCAGGGGUGCCUGGAAUUACCAUCCGGCCAUUGAAUGUCAUUUUUGCCUUCUCCCACCCGCCUAUACACGGCUAAUGCUACCGUGCAAGGACUUGCAUGUAGGAUGGUGAGGAUUCCCCCCCGGCACGCAAAUGUUGGUUCCCCUAUCAUUGCAGAAACCACUAGACCGGGAGUUGACGGCGAGAGGAAUUCUCUUGGGGGCGCAGAUGUUGGUAUCCAACGAUCAGGAACCCUUCAUUGAGGUCCUUAACGCAGGGUUAGACACGUCAGUCAUCCAAGAAGGUACCAUGCUAGCUCAUGCGUCGCCAGCGCUUCCUGAGGGAAGCAUUGUUGGCAAUGUGCGUGCCGCGUCGAAUGUGCGGCCGCACCAGAAACUUGAUGAGGGGUGGAUAGAGAAGCUGUGUUCCGAAAAUGUGGUAUUGUCCGGGUGUUUUAAGUAAAGGGAAAUUUGAUAUUGGACGCACUAUGCUUUUAAGUCAUCACAUUGAUACGGGUGACGCCGCUCCCAUCCAGCAGAAUUCCUACCGGGGAGCCCUGCGGAAAAAUUACACGUUCCGCUGGCGGUUGACGAAAUGUUAGCCGCGGACAUUAUUUCACCGUCCCCCAGCCCAUGGGGAGCACCAAUUGUACCUGUUAAAAAGCACAAUGGUAGCUUGCGCUUUUGUGUUGACUUCCGUAAGCUUAAUAAGGUCUCUGUCGCUGAUGUGUACCCUUUACCUCGAAUGGAUGACUCACUGGAUGCUCUAGUCAGAGUGCGGUUCUUUUCCACUCUCGAUCUCCUAUCCGGGUUCUGGCAGUUACCACUAGACGAAGCCUCUAAGCCCAAGACAGCCUUUCGUACACCACAAGGCUUGUUCGAAUUCAAUCGGCUUCCAAUGGGUCUUCAUUCCGCGCCGAUCACGUUCCAGCAAUUGAUGGAACUGGUCCUGGCUGGUCUCCAGUGGGACUCGUGCUUGAUAUACCUGCAACGGCUACGCGCUGUUUUUCUAAAAAUGCGUGCGGCCAACCUGAAAUUUAAAUCGCAGAAAUGUCACUUCCUCCAGAAAUUGGCCACAUAGUGAGUGAAUCGGGUAUUGCGACUGACCCGGACAAAACCGCGUGUGUUCGAACUUGGCCGACCCUCAUGUCGGUGGGGGAGGUAUGCAGUUUCAUAGGAUUCGCGUCCUAUUACCACCGUUUUGUCCCCGGGUUUGCUACGAUCGCUAAGCCUCUCCACGCCUUGAUGGCUAAGGGUCAUAAAUUCCAUUGGGGGGAGGAGGAGGCCGCAUUUGUUGCGCUCCGGGAUGGCUUGGUGAAUGCCACUCCCCACCACUACCCCGAUUUUUCAUUGCCGUUUGUCCUUUAUACAGAUGCUAGUAACACCGGAAUUGGAGCUGUUCUGUCCCAAGUUGUCAAUGGCAUCGAGAGUGUUGUCGCAUACGGCAGCAGGGUGCUGUCUCCGGCCGAACAACGGUAUUGUGUCACACGCUGAGAACUGUUGGCCAUUGUGUUUUUUGUGCAACAGUAUCGUCCCUAUUUGUAUAGUAGACACUUUGAGGUGCGCUCUAACCACGCAGCGCUACAAUACGCGCUGCGUGCUGAUCAGCCGUCUGGCCAACUUUCACGCUGGUUGAAGGUCCUCCAGGAUUACUCCUUUAAGGUUACCUAUCGCAAGGGCUCCCGUCACACGAACGCUGACGCGCUGUCGCGAUUACCAACGAGCGGCGGGUGCGCCUGCUUUUCAGGGGCUCUGGGCCCUGUAAGCCGGCUGCUGAGCCCUCAUCCCCUCCCCUCGCGGCGUUGGCCGACUCGGUAACAUCUGAGUUGGCCAAGGGUCCGGCGGUGCGUGACACUGUUAUUGGGUUGGACCAUGCAGAAUGGGGGUGCCUCCAGGAGGAGGACUCCUCCCUGCUUAAAUUGCCACGCCGUGUCAGAGAAUCUGAGGGGGGACUGCUCAUGCAUUGGGAUGGAGGUUUGCACCAAUACAACAUUGUUGUGCCCACUGCCCUACGGGGCAAGGUCAUCUGUACGGUACACGAGCACUUGUUGCACCUAGUUUUGCAUAAGACGCUGGCCACACUUAAGUUGGACUUCUUCUGGCCUGACAUGGCUGAGGAUGUCGCUAAUUUGUUGAAAGGGUGUGUGCAGUGCGCGCGGCGGAAGCCGCCGGUGAAACCCUGUUGUCCACCAUUACAAUUAAUUCAGGUUUCCCGCGUGAAUGAGUUGGUUGCGCUUGACAUCCUUGGUCCGUUUCCCACUACUCCUCGUGGGAAUAAGUACUUGCUGGUGGGAGUAGAGUAUUUUUCACGAUGGCCUGUGGCCUAGCCGCUCCCCAACCAGUCAGCGGCGACGAUCACUGAGGCAUUCCUCAAUGGCUAUGUAAUCGGGUGCUCCCGAACGUCUUCUGACUGACCAGGGCAAAAAUGUUUCUUCAAAGAUGUUGCGGGAGGUGUGCAAUUUGUUGGGAACAAAGAAAGUACGCACGUCACCGUACCACCCGCAAACGGAUGGCAUGGUGGAGCGCCGAUGUAGGGACGUAAGUAGCGUCCCUACGGGGUGUAUGCUGUAAGCACCCAUGAUUUAUGCGAGCGAGUGCACGUACCUCUGCAGGGAGUUGACGGAGACAUUGCGGGAAGCGGGCCCUGCUCGGCGGGGUCCCGUCGCUAGAAGAGAGAGGGGACGUGCCGGCUCAGGGGAGUUAAGGAGGCCCGGAAAUGAGGGCCCGAGGACAUGUGAUGCUGGCUCCUGUUCCGUCUCGAGAGACUGAGCAGGGGCAUGGCCGGUGGUGGCAUGAGGCCAGGCUCGGGGGAGGAGAAGAGGAACGGGGGCGAAGCAGAGGACGGAGUCCAGCGUGGAAAGCAAUCGGUGCCGCACGCAUGACGUCCCCAGCGCCGCUGCCUGCGCCGUCUCCACUGGAUUUGGGAAGGGAAAACCCGUCGACCCGGCCUACUGCUCUUCGUGAGGAGCCGGGCUCCACGGGACAUUUGCAUGUUCCCCCCCCCGGGACCUCCAGGGAGAGUGAGUCCACCUUCCCUGGAGGCCCGGUCACGAUGGCUCGUUAUAAAACUCUUCAGGUUUCGUGAUCCCCAUGCACACACACUCCCACACCCUCGGUUGGUUGUCACACUCGGUCAGCCGUAUCGGUUAUUGGCUGAACCUAGCCCUUAUUGUGCUUGCG